AACCAGCACCUCAAGUGGUCAGGAUGAUUAUUGGGCCUAAAGCAUCCGUAGCCUGUUCUGCAAGUCUUCGGUUAAAUCCAUCAACUCAAGUUAUGGGCCGCCGAAGAUACUGCAGAACUAGGGAGUGGGAGAGGUAGACGGUACUCGGUAGGAAGGGGUAAAAUCCUUUGAUCUAUUGAUGACCACCUGUGGCGAAGGCGGUCUACCAGAACACGUUCGACGGUGAGGGAUGAAAGCUGGGGGAGCAAACCGG
rnacentral:rRNA from 1 species